GCCGCGGCCUAGUCCCGGCAGACGGGACUGACGAGGUCACCAAGCCCAGGCCGAGACGGCGCGGGUGUCAGGGACUUGGGAAUCCCCCUCCCCCAGUCCCGAUCCCGCUUUCCUUUGGGGUUUCACCUCAGAGGACCCGACAGCACUCUUGCAGUUUCCUCAUCCUCAAGAUGGACUGCACCUUCUGGCAUCUCAAGUGGUUCUUGUGAAGAUUAAAUGAAUCCAUCAGGCCGGGUGCGGUGGCUCACGCCUGUAAUCCCAGCACUUUGGGAGGCCGAGACGAGCGCAUCACCUGAGGUCAGGAGUUCCAGACCAGCCUGGCCAACAAGACCUCCCCACAGAGUUGACGCUCUGGAAAGAAAAGCCAGGCUUUUCUCUGAGGUUUUGCAUCUCCUUGGCCAAUGUGCUCAUGCCAGAGAAGAGCAGUGCAUGGCCAGUUUGAGGAGCACGGCCAUGUGACCUUGGACAGCCCCUGCCUCUCUCUAGGACUCACUCCCGGUCCCUAACCUCAGCUCUCUGAUCUGUACCACAAGGAGCUGCCACUAACACCUGUGUCAGAACUACUGUAAGGACCCUUUCCU
rnacentral:lncRNA from 1 species